CACUCCGCCGCAGAGCCCGCCCCCGCCGCCCACCGCCGCCAGCAGCGCCCGGGACCCCCCCGGGGGCGAGGGCCCGGCCCCCCGGCCCCCCCCGGCGCUGCGUCACCGGUGACUCAGGCGGGGCGGCACGCUGCCUCAGUUUCCCCACCCCGGUGACUUAUUUCCCCUCCGCGCCGGGGACAGCGCCCGCCGCCACGUCCCCGCUGCCGGCCGGCCCCCCCGGCCCGCCGUGCCUCAGUUUCCCCGGCACGGAGGCGAGCGGGAGGCUUUCUCCCCGGCCUUUGCAGCGGGGGAAACUGAGGCACGGGGCAGCAAAUGGAUAAAGCCCCACAGCCGGGCUGCCCCACGCCAAGACGGCCCCCGUCGAGCCCCAAACCUCCCCCUGGCUCGCCCGGGCGCGCGGCUCUCCCGGAAUAUGCCUCGCCGGCGCCGUCCCCCCCUCGCCCGCCUGCGCGCUCGGGGGAGCAGCGCGCGCUGAUUGCUGCUGACAGCCGCUGCUGGGCGGCCGCGCUGGGCUCGGAGGCCCCGCUGCCGUUUCGGAGCCGGGGCGCGGGGCUGAGGGCCCCGGCACGCGGGCGAGGGCUGGGCCCCAUGGUCCGCCCGGGGAAGGGAGCGGGGGGGUCCCGGGUGACGGAGCCGGGGGGCCCCCGCUGCCGCUGAUCUCCGUGCCGGCCGCGGGCCUUCGCUCCUGCCUCGCGCCGCUCCCGUGCCUCCCGCGGCUGCCCUUCGCCCUUCCCGCCGCACCAUGAUCAUCCGCCCGAGACGCUUAACCCCGGGGUAUUUUCGGCUGCUCCAGAUGCAGCUGGCAGCGGGGCGAGCGGCAGAGCCGAGGGACCGGCUGGUGAAUCACCUGGCCCUGCUGCUGGCCGCCGUGGGGCUGAGCCUCUCCUACUACAGCGCCCGGCGGAUGGCCGGUCCCGCCAAAGCCUCCCCGGAGCCGUGAGGCCGCGGGCACUGCCUGGCCCCGGGGAUGGCCCCCGGCUCCGGCAACGCCGCGUCGUGCCCUGCUCUCUCCAGCCGGGCCCCAAGCUGGUGGCACGGGGCUGUUGGACCCGCUCUGCUCGCCAAACCCUGCUGAGCGGAGCUGCCGGAUGCGUCCCCUGACCCGCUCUCGCCUUCCGGCUCCUUCCUGGCCCCCUGGUCCCCUUCUGGGAGCUGGGACAAAGCAUGGAAAAGCCGACGCGAUUCUGACUCCAGUCCCCCAACACCACAGACCGGUGCUGCGAGCUGGCAGCCGGGGUGGCUUCUCAGCCCUGGAGCUGCCAGGCGGUGCAGAGCUGCGCCCUGAACUGGGAAGAAAAGAUGCCGGGAUCCAGCCACCGGGAGACAACCGAGCCUCACCGAGCAGACGCGCGGAACGGAGGGCCGGGCGCAGCGCUCCCCCCCAUCUCCCCCCCCGUGCUCCCGGGAGAGGGGCCCAGGCAGCUCCUUGCACCUCGCUGGCAGCCGCACGCGGGUCCCUCCCGCACCGGCGUGGCGACACAGGGGAAUGCGCUGCAUCCGCAGCCAGCCCGGCUCCCAUUAACAGCCGCUGCUCCCUCCCCGGGCAGCCCAGCCAGCAGCUCCGCGUCACGGGCUGGCAGAAAGGAGGUCAGCGCAAAGCGCUGUUAGGUAACAGCAGCGCGGGGAGGGCCGGGACCGAGAUCAGGCCCCGCACAAGAGGCUGGGGGUGGAAAUGGGGACACAGGGCUGGCUCCAGCCUGAGAUUCGCCGCACGGGCCUCGAGAUAAGAGCAGAAGGAUUUCCAGUCUCCCCAGGGACAGAUGGGAGACCACAACCUUCCCACCCCUCCAUCUUGCAUACCAAACCCCACAGAGCGAGCUGCAGCGUGGAGCAAAGCUGCCCCUAGCCGGCAGGUUAGAUGCCAACAAGAGCCCUAGGUUUAAUCGCCUGGAUAACCCUGGGGGGAAGAAACCCGGUCAGUCUGCAUGCAAAUAAAUCUUUUCCCUCCGAGCAAA